rnacentral:rRNA from 1 species
UACGUAGGGUGCGAGCGUUCAUCGGAAUUACUGGGCGUAAAGCGUGCGCAGGCGGUUUUGUAAGCCAGAUGUGAAAUCCCCGGGCUUAACCUGGGAAUGGCAUUUGGGACUGCAAGGCUGGAGUGUGGCAGAGGAGACUGGAAUUCCUGGUGUAGCAGUGAAAUGCGUAGAUAUCAGGAGGAAUACCGAUGGCGAAGGCAGGUCUCUGGGCUGACACUGACGCUCAUGCACGAAAGCGUGGGGAGCAAACAGG